rnacentral:rRNA from 1 species
CAUGCAGUCGAACGAUGAUCUCCCGCUUGCGGGGGUGAUUAGUGGCGAACGGGUGAGUAAUACGUGAGUAACCUGCCCUUGACUCUGGGAUAAGCCUGGGAAACCGGGUCUAAUACUGGAUACUACUUCCUGCCGCAUGGUGGGGGGUGGAAAGGGUUUUACUGGUUUUGGAUGGGCUCACGGCCUAUCAGCUUGUUGGUGGGGUAAUGGCUCACCAAGGCGACGACGGGUAGCCGGCCUGAGAGGGUGACCGGCCACACUGGGACUGAGACACGGCCCAGACUCCUACGGGAGGCAGCAGUGGGGAAUAUUGCACAAUGGGCGGAAGCCUGAUGCAGCGACGCCGCGUGAGGGAUGACGGCCUUCGGGUUGUAAACCUCUUUCAGCAGGGAAGAAGCCACAAGUGACGGUACCUGCAGAAGAAGCGCCGGCUAACUACGUGCCAGCAGCCGCGGUAAUACGUAGGGCGCAAGCGUUGUCCGGAAUUAUUGGGCGUAAAGAGCUCGUAGGCGGUUUGUCGCGUCUGCUGUGAAAGCCCGGGGCUCAACCCCGGGUCUGCAGUGGGUACGGGCAGACUAGAGUGCAGUAGGGGAGACUGGAAUUCCUGGUGUAGCGGUGAAAUGCGCAGAUAUCAGGAGGAACACCGAUGGCGAAAGGCAGGUCUCUGGGCUGUUACUGACGCUGAGGAGCGAAAGCAUGGGGAGCGAACAGGAUUAGAUACCCUGGUAGUCCAUGCCGUAAACGUUGGGCACUAGGUGU